AGAAUGUGGACCUAAAAAUAGAAGUGUAACUCUUCUUAGUGACCAA
rnacentral:tRNA from 1 species